AAAAUGCGUUUAUUAUCCUCUCUCUCAUCUCUUUUCCUUCACUACCGUUUCAACCCUCAAUUCAUCUCUUCCAGUUUUCCCUUUUUCAUUCUUCUCUCUUUCAAUGUUUCAAAACCAACCGUAUUCUCCUUUUCUUCUACCACGCUUCAAUCACGUUUCCGUUUCACUCCACUGUUUUCUCCUCCUCUCUCACCAUCGUAUCCUUUCCAGUUCACACAAAUCUGUUUCUCUCUUCCAUCUCAAGUUCUUCCAUCUUGCAUCAUGUUUCUCAACCAGACGUCGUUCUUUCGAUUCUUCCAUACACCAUAAUUCCAAAUCGCGAUCUUUGUCAGAUAUGUGUUCCUAUCAUGAAAGCUCCUGUCGCAAAUAGCCUCUCCCGCAGACCGAUUCUCUGGUUUAUGAAGUCCAUGAGAGGUACCUUUCAAUCUCAUCCCCACCUCCUUUCAAUCUGCUUCAAUUGGAAUUUCUGAAGCAUUACUGCCUGUGUCAUUGUCCUCUCUCACAAAUCGUGUUCCUGCCUUCUCAAUGUCUGAUCACUCAGGUAAUUUUGUGAAAAAUUCCUUAAUGAUGUUUUAUUGUCUCAAUGGCAUCUCUCAUAGCCUGCUCCGAUGCAUUGAUUUCAUCCACUCGACCUUCCAAUUCUCUCAGAACUUCAAUGGCAUCUCUCAUGGGCUCAUGGCCGUUCUUUCAAUCGCAUCUCUCAUCCCGAUUAAGAGCUCUAAUAUCCAUCAAAUUUCGUAUACCUGCUCAAUCAAUGGAAUCCCUUCUAGAGAUUGAUUUUCACGACGUGCCUUUGGUUUAUUUUAUCUGUCUUUUGUAUGAGAGAUGAAGCAUUUUUGAAUAACAAUGUUGCAUAUGUCAAGAACCAGUGCAGGUGUUCCAUGCCUCAGGGAAAUUUCUUUCUACUCAUUUUCUGCUGACUCAUCUUAGAGGAGAGCCCCCCAGAGAAGCUUUGUUUUCAGAUUAAAGAUGCUACUGAAGUUGUCUUAUUGAUGAUUUUUACUUUUGGUGAUUGCAUGAGGAGGCUAUACUUCAAUUCUAAUGUUAAACUUUUGGAGAUUGCACGAGAUGGCUCUGCUUCAACUACAAAAUAUUUCUGCAUAUAGGUAGUUCAUUAUGAGAGAUCUGGUACUUCUUUGUUGUUUUAUUUGCAUCAUUCACUUUUCAAAUACAUAUAGCUUUUCGGCCCAGUGAUUCCCUUAAUCAAAUGUGAUGGUGUUGAUAGUUUUACAUACUGCAUUCAUUGCAGAAUACAAACUUAAACAAAUGAUAAACAAAUAGUUCAUUCUCUUCAUGAGACAUUUACUUACUUGAUUCUUCUAUGUGAAACUAUGCUUAUCUGUUUUUAUGAUUAUGAGAUGGUUAUCUAAAAAGUUCAUUCACUUAUCUGGAACUUUAUUGUGGUUUUGAUGGCUUAAUUUAGUUGAAGUGGAAUAUUCAAUGCACAAUCAUUUGUGGCAAGGGUCUUCAUGGUAAACCAAUCCAAUUUUAUGGUUUGUUGAGUGAGUAAAGAAGAUAACCCCGUCUUCAUUCCUUUGGAUAAAUGGCUCUAAAACAGCAUGUGUGGCAAGGGGAAUCAGUAAAGUGAGCAAUUAAACUCAUCAAGCCAGAUUUAUAGCUGUGUUUAUAAUUUCUUUAAACCACUUCAGGUUGAUGCUCUAUCAUUAAGCACAAUGCAAAUUAAAGUUAUUUUUCUAAGUGUCCCUAUCAAUGUUUGUUGUGGAACUUCAAUGCCUACAAAUGCAGAAAGAUAGGAAAGUAUAUCAAGUGACUGUUGGAGCAAGAAGACCUAUUUUUAAAAAACGCAAGGACCAUGCACACACUGUCGAGGGAUCUAAGUGGAAUUUUGUGCCUAGCUCAUAAUGAUUUUUGUAGUUUUGUGUAAUAAAAGGAAUGACUCUGAAAGAAGAAUUUUAUGGAAUUCUUUUAUAGCUUCUUGAUGGAACACAAUGUGGACUUGAUAAAUGUAAAGGUGAAUCAAUUAUGGCUGCAAUGUAUCUAGAAGGACACUUUGGAGAACAUAAAUUGAAAGUAUUGUUUUGUACUAGGGACUAAGUUGAGACUACCAAAUCAUUUACCUAUAGAAGAGUUAGAGAACUCAAAGCUUACAGCUAACACUAAUUCUUCCCUAUCUCUUUGUCUUUGACCAUCACUCUUGGGAGGUUUGCUGCAAAAAUUGCUAGCAGCACUCAGCAAUCUCAAGCUGAGGAAACCAAGAAGUCAAACUUGACAGUUGCAAAUUCGAAUGGAUUUGGGGAGUAUAUAUUUGUUGAUGAUGAACUCAAGGCAGAAGAUCAGCCAGUGCCUAUGUCUCUGGAGCAAACAGUGCAUAGUGAAUCUGAUCAAAUGGAGGAAUUGGAGAUGGAGGAUAUUAUUGUAGUCUGCCGAAGAGCCUAUUGUGGACAUCGAUGUCGGAGAUGCGAAUAAUCCUCUUGCAGUUACUGAUUAUAUUGAAGGUCUUUAUUCCUACUACAGAAAAAUUGAGUCAAUCAACCCAGUAAAGUAUGAUGAAUUCACUCUCAAGAAGAACAUCUUCUCUACCUUUGCUUGAUAUUAUGCUGAUGGAGGAGUCAUUUCACUGGUCAUGUAUUAGAUCUUCCCUACAUUGGAAUCUGUUGAGAAGGUUAAUGAAUUUAUGCUUGAUUUACUUCCAGGAAAUACAACAGAGUACUUAAGCUCAGAUACCACUUGCAAAUAUGAUGAAGACACCGAACUACAGUCAUAAUGGUUUACUACAGUGUUCUUAAAUGAUAUUACAUGCUCUGAUAUACCAAAUCACAAAAUAACAGAAAAAGGAAGGUGCUUUGAUAAUGCUUUUGAGAAAUAUAGUUCAAGCAUCCGGUUUAUGCAAUGGAACGCGACUAAUAGUGGUUGAUCUUGGAAUAAAUACAAGUCACUGUAAUAACCGGAACCAACAUUGGAGAUGACAUUUCCAUUCCAAGAAUGGACAUGGUUCCAUCUGACUCAAGUUACCCGUUUAAGUUUGAAAGACGUCAGUCUCCGAUCA